AUUUGCAUUAAUUUAACACAUACGCUACAAACGAUAAUAUCUGCACAGACUUUAUUUCGCGGAGUUAGAUUCUUCGGAGAUUUUACCACGAUGAGAUAAAAGUCAAAGCUAAUGUUUCUCGAUAUAGAUAAAAAUUGUGGUGGUUAAGGGGACAGUGUAUGCCAAGUUUUUUUCUCACCAUCUCAAAAAUCUUUUUUAAAUUAUUCUGCCUUGUAGAUUAGUCUUUUUUUUUUUAGAUUUGAAGUAUAGCGAGGGAUCUUUAGAGUUUAG